CUCUCUCUCUCUCUCUCUCUCUCUCGACUUCGUGUGCGAAACGGCGAUGGACUUCGUGUGCGAAACGGCGAUGUUUGUGUUCGUUGAAGUGUGGUCGUUGUCGUCUGCCGUAUAGAUUUAGUGUCUAUUUGUAUGGUAUUUUGAUUCGAGUCGGGUUUAUAUUGCACACUCUGAUUUUUAAACUUGGUUUCUUGUGUGGUUGUUUGAUUCAAGUUGGGGUUUUGUAUUUGAUUAGAUUUAGUGUGUCUUUGUAUGGUAGUCUAAUUAAAGUUGGUUUUGUAUUGUUCACUCUUGAGUAACUUCGUUUCUUGUCUGGUUGUUUGAUUCAAGUUGGGGUUUUGUAUUGUGCAAUCUUGGUUUGCAGAAAAGGAGAAUCUUUGUUCGUAUGGGUUACCGAAUGAAGAAUGAGAAGUGAAUUUACCAGCUGAAGAAGUGCCUCCUGAGCUUCCACAGCCAGCUCUUGGUAUUAACUUUGCAAGAGAUGGGCUCUCUGAAAAAGAAUGGCUUUUUCUUAUUGCCAUUCACAGUGACGCUUGGUUACUUUCUGUUUCCUUUUACUUCGGCUCGAGGUUUUCUUUCCACAAGGAAGAUAGGAAGCGCUUGUUCAACAUGAUCAAUGAUGUUCCUACUAUAUUUGAGGUAGUGACUGGAAUGGCUAAAAGCCAAUCAAAGGACAAGUCAUCUGCUGCAAACCAAAACGGCAGCAAAUCCAAUUAGAUGGUUACAUGGCUAGGAGGAUGAAGAUUAAUUCUGUUGUUGGCUCGUACCUUGAUCCUCUUGCAGACAAGGUUCUUAUUGGGUGUGUCGCAGUAGCAAUGGUGCAGAAGAUUACAUGUAUUUAUAUCAAGAGGAUUACAUUUAAUGGAGUCCUAGAUUGCAAUACUGCCUUUUAAACUUUAAUACUAAAGCCAUUUUUGGUGGAUGCAUGUGACAUUUGUGCUCUGAAGCUGGACUGGUUGGUAUUGUGGUGUUACGGGAUGUUGCACUCGUCGGUGGUGCAGUUUACCUAAGGGCACUAAAUUUGGACUGGAAGGUGAGUUCUUGAUUUAAUAUAUUAUUAAUUUAAUAGAAGGACAAAUAAC